GGGUCGGUACUCAAGCGGUCAACGAGGUCAGACUGUAAAUCUGAUGGCUUUGCCUUCGAAGGUUCGAAUCCUUCCCGGCCCACCA
rnacentral:tRNA from 1 species